CUGAACCCGUCUCGGUGCUGUUGCAAGAAGAAGGUUUGAUGCUGAGCGGAGUCGCUGGCAUAUUGGAUCUCAUUAAAAGACAGCUUCUGGACCUCUCCCAACUCAGACUCUCUGCUGAGGCAGACUCACACGACAGACUGCCUGCUCCGCAGACCCCUGACGUCAGCAUGUCCGAAGAGGUUCAUUACCACCUCCACCACCCACUCCUGGGUCCUGGAUUCUGCAGGAAAGAACCAGCACACCCACCCUCGCACCCCGACUAGGCCUGCUGGAGAGACCACCUCCGAGUCAUAACCUUUGACGGGGAAAUUACCCUCACCCUUCCCCGUGCCUGGCACUUGACGGUGUCACUGCUCACAUCAGCCCUGAGUUUGGUACCACCGUCAGCAUCGAGACGGGGAAAUCGAUGGUCCCAGGUAACGCAUUACUAACCCAUGGUCAAAGCCAGUAAGUGGCGAGGAUGGGUCUCAAACGGAGGUCUUUCUGACUCUACCGCCAGGCUCUCCCAGCGGUCAGGUAAACUACCUGAAGCCUCUUACUGGCUGGGUUUGCUUCAGGAAAGUAACUUAACCUCUCUGGACACCCCCAAGGUCAGAAGCUUCGCUUCUGCUGAAGAAAUUGGUGUGCAAACGAAACAAAAAUCCACGGGCGUCAGCGCAGUCCUUCCCUGGAGCGCGGGGCUUUCUAAUGAGAGGGUGCGUCUCCAGCCCGAGACCUGCGAAACCGAGCGCCCGGCAGCCUAGCAGAAGCGAAACCUCAACACCCUCCAGCCUCCCCCGCUCUGUUCUGGGAACCCGCCGGCCAGACUUCGUGGAAACGCGCAUCGCCGCAGCCGCCUCGAGCCCCGGGGCCUCCCCGACUACAGCUCGCAGGACCCGGCCGGGAGGUUCAGGGGGCGGCGCGGUCGGGCCCGAGAAGCAGCGCGAGGCGCGCUUCCGCCCCACUCGCUUCGGCAGCGGCCGCGGCGGCCCCACAAUCCCCUUCUGGCUCCGGGGACGGGCGGGGCGGGGCGGGGCGGGGCGGGGCGGGCCGAGCGGGCGGAAAUAAUUUUCUGUUUGGUCCUCUCUGCCCCAGUCCCUUAGCCGCGGGUCGCGCGGGACAUCGAGAUCUCCGAGGCGGGAAGAGGGAGCGGGAACGCGAAGUCCUGGCACGCUUAGAGGGGCGGAGAGGGGGCGAGGACGGGUGGAGCCCUACUUACUGUACGCUUUAGCGCUUUACAAAAGGGUUUUCGUUAAAUCUCCCCUACAGCUCUUUCAGGAAGCCUCGGAUGCCCACAUUUCAGAGGGACAAGCUGAACCUCUGAAAAGUGAAGUCACUCGCUGGCCCAAAACUGCACACCUAGGAUCAGCGUGACGCCCCAAAUAAGCGCUCAGUUACACCAAGCACGAUGAAUCGGAACCACUUGUUGGCUAAGUCCUGCUCUUCUCUGUGUGUGUGUAUGUGGACAGGCACAUAGUAAGUGCUCAGAAAAGUGCUGGAAGCCAGAGAAUGAGUUGGACAGUUCGGCCUUGGGAGUGCUGGCCGCGAAUCCCGCUCAGCGCGCGUAUCACCGGGUUCCCCCAGGACGGACGUCUGAUUUCGACACCGACAUUCGGCGAACGAGUGGUAGCGGAGCCCCAGCCCCAGCGGAGGACAGACUGGAUUCAAAUCCCGACUCUGCCUGUUUCAGGCUGUGUGACUUUGGGCAAAUCACUUCAUCCGCUGGAACCCUGGUUGCUCCAUCUAUAAAAUGGGGAUAUGAACACCCACCUCAAAGGGUUGUGGAGAGCACUAAACGAAAAGGUGUUCCUAAUACUUACUACACGCACAAGUAUCGUCGAGCGUUCAUUCCACAAGUUUCAGGCGGUGCGUCCGCACCGGGUGAAGACCCCAGACAAAGGCUCCUGUGUCCCGGUCCCGAGGGCGCCCUCCCCUAAACUCAGGGACCGACAGGCUUUCCAGUGACCCUCAUCCCGCGAAACCCCGAAACUGCGGCCACCUCUGCCGCCGUCGGUCCCGAAAGCAAAUACUCAAAUAUUCCGAAACUGGCGAAUGGCUAGGGCUGACAUUUUUGCGUUUAAUUUUCUUUUAAGUUUUAUUCCUGUCAGUAAAGGUAGUUUCUUGAGACUUCC